AAAAUUGAAACUAAAAUUGGCAACAUCAAUGGGCAGGGGAGAGGAGUCUGGCGGAGGCUUUCCCUAGACUCUUCCAUCUUAGCACCAAACAAGGUGGGGUUUAUUAACAAUAUGGGAGUUUGGGUUGAGGGGCAGUGGUGUUGGGAUUUUUCGUGGAAUCGGGAGCUCUCGGGGAGAGAACUUGACCAACUUUCUAACCUUCUUUCUAUCAUCAGAAAAUUUCAAGUGGUGGCAGGUGAAACAGACGGCUGGAGGUGGAAAGCAUCUCCAAACGGAGUUUUCUCCGUCAAGACGGCUUACAAGUCUUUGUGUCUUGAGACAAAUCCCUCCAGCUCUAGCCGAGAAGUGUUCGAAUGGAAGCAGNNN
rnacentral:lncRNA from 1 species